rnacentral:rRNA from 1 species
UCAAAAACAUGGCCUAUUGAUAAUAAUUUUAGGUUUGGCCUGCCCCCUGAGGAGUUAAAUGGCCGCGGUAUUUUGACCGUGCUAAGGUAGCAUAAUCAUUAGUUUCUUAAUUAGAAGCUAGAAUGAAUGGUUGGAUGAAAAAAAUUCUGUCUCUAUUUAAAAUUUUAUUGGAAUUUUAUUUUUUAGUAAAAAAGCUAAAAUAAUUUUAAAAGACGAGAAGACCCUAUAGAGUUUAAUAUUUCUAAAUAAUUAAAAUUUAUUGGAAUAUAAUUUUUUGAUUUUUAUAAGUAUUUGAUUGGGGUGAUCGAAAAAUUAGAUUAACUUUUUCUUUUUUAAACAUUAAUUUUUGAAUAAUUGAUCCAUUUUUUAUGAUUAAAAGAUUAAAUUACCUUAGGGAUAACAGCGUAAUAUUUUCAAAGAGUUCUUAUCGAAGAAAAAGAUUGCGACCUCGAUGUUGGAUUAAAGUUAACUUUAGGUGUAGAAGCUUAAAAGUUAGGUCUGUUCGACCUUUAAAAUUUUACAUGAUCUGA